AAAUAAUACAAUAAAUGUUAUCAAACAAGGCACUUAAAAUUUCACCAUGGCAUAAGAUAUCUUUAUCAGUGAAAUCAUCCUUAGUACUAAAAUAAAGUACCAUUAAAUGAAAUAAUUAAACAUUCUUUUUCAGCAUAAAAUAUGGUACCUAUAAAACUAGUUUGUAAUGCAUAUGUAAUUAGAAAGACAUCUUCAGAUUGAACAAUAUCAGUAAGUCACAAGGACAUCGGUAGCUUCAGAAAGCCUUUGCCUUGGCGACAAUGCUGUGAUGCUAGUAGCGUCAACAUCCAAGUUUACAAUGCAUUUUCGCUUCUGAAAAUCUGAAUUCAUCUUUUCCUCUG
rnacentral:misc_RNA from 1 species